CCUACGGGCGGCAGCAGUGAGGAAUAUUGGGCAAUGGGGGAAACGCUGAUGCAGCCACGCCGCGUGAGUGAAGAAGGAUCUCGGUACGUAAAGCUCUUUCAGCAGGGAAGAAAAUGACGGUACCUGCCUAAGAAGCCCCGGCUAACUACGUGCCAGCAGCCGCGGUAAUACGUAGGGGGCAAGCGUUAUCCGGAUUUACUGGGUGUAAAGGGAGCGUAGGCGGCUGUAUAAGUCUGGAGUGAAAUCCCGGGGCUUAACCCCGGAACUGCUUUGGAAACUGUGCGGCUGGAGUGCAGGAGGGGUAAGCGGAAUGCCUAGUGUAGCGGUGAAAUGCGUAGAUAUCACGAAGAACUCCGAUUGCGAAGGCAGCUUACUAAACUGCCACUGACAUUGAUGCUCGAAAGUGUGGGUAUCAAACAGGAUUAGAUACCCUAGUAGUC
rnacentral:rRNA from 1 species